GACAGAGGGUGCAAACGUUGUUCGGAAUUACUGGGCGUAAAGCGCGUGUAGGCGGCUAAGUAAGUCGGGCGUGAAAUCCCACGGCUCAACCGUGGAAGUGCACUCGAAACUGCAUAGCUAGAGUCCUGGAGAGGAAGGUGGAAUGCUUGGUGUAGAGGUGAAAUUCGUAGAUAUCAAGCGGAACACCGGUGGCGAAGGCGGCCUUCUGGACAGUGACUGACGCUGAGACGCGAAAGC
rnacentral:rRNA from 1 species